CCUCCUCGGCCCGGGCCGGCCCCGCUUUGGGCACGGCCGGCGGCACGGCCGCGGGGCCCCGCUCCGUUCCCCCACCCACUCAUCCUCGCAGGCAACUCUGCCUCCUCCGCACUGCCUAAAUGCUACGUUUUCACCUUCCCCCUCGCUUCCAGGAUAAUCAGCCCCAAAGCCUCCACACCGCGGCUCCCAGCACGGCUGAUGCACGCAUCCUCAUCCCACCAGUACCUAUUUCGGCUUCCUCCAUCCUGCUCCUGGUCACGCUCCUCAGCUCUAGCUUACAGUCUAACCCUAGCUUCCCUUUCUGAGCACCUUAUAUACCCCCCGUUUUCAAUCUCUUUCCUCCCAUCUCAGUGCCCGCAGUUAUCUGCCUCCAACGCUCACUACCCCAAAGUGCCCCCAGAUCCCAGCUCACACAUAACACACUUUACUCUUCCCCACCCCUCAAGGCAACCAAUCACACACCAUCCACUGCUGCCUUCCCAGAUCAGGACGGACAGAAACCACAAAAUCACUAUCUUUAUACAACCGCUUGUUUCUUUGCAUGGCAACAGCAGGAGACAGUACACUGAAAGGAAAUGUGAUUCCAACUCCAUGGAGCCCAAAAGCAGCACAAGAAAUCUCUGCCCCAUGUAGUGACACUUCUGAAGAAACAGUGACCCGAGCACAAGACAGCUGCCAUCACCAGCUGAACCAACUACAGUAUUAUCAUAGACUGACCUGAAGCUGGGACUGAAAAGAAAACCUUUGUGCAGUUGUUUAUAUGUAAUAAAACUCACACUACAAUUACAGUAGCAGCAUUCUGGGAAGCUCCUUUCCAGACAACAUUAAUGCCAGCAUUACAGCCACCCAGCAUCUUGGCAUGUUCUUUGGAAGCACCUACAAGAAGCAGUUUUAUUUUGCCUAAUCCCCUUUUAACUAAGGGAAGCUUUUUGUCCUGACACCUUUUCUCCCCACACUCUCCUUUUAUAAAUCAAGUUUCUGUGUUUUAUCUUUUCCUUCUGAUACCUUCCCUCACUCUUAUCACUUGCCUUUUGAAAUCAGUGUGGGUUCUUCUAACUUUUGCUCCUAGCCACACACUAAGACUACUUGAUCUCCCUCCAGCUCUCAUCUAGGGGUAGUAUUCAAACCACAGUCCCAGCAACCUCAAGAUCUGACCCUAUAGAGUCCCUUCUGAGAAUAAUGGUGACAUCUUUCUCAGGUGUUCAAGCUAGCACAAGUUCAGGGCCUGUCUCUGGACUCAAUUACACCAAUCUAACUCCCUUGGGUGAUUUUAAUCAAAACAGAGGUAGAAUUCUUCUGAAGUCCCAAGCAGGUGAAAUGUUUCCACACAUCACACAGACACACUCUAAAAGUCUCUGAGCUUAUGGUAACAAAUGGGGGUGGGCUGCACUCACUGCAUUUGGACAGAGUAAGUAAAACCAAUGCAGCUGCAGUUCCUGAGGGUAAUACAGCAGACUAAUUAUCACAGGCAUAUCUGUCUCACUUAGAGACACCUCUGGGUCUUGAGCCACAGCCUUUGCUCUGUCCCAAGAAGGACAUGUUAUCUCUAUGCUAUUUUGGGGUGGGAUUUCCUUGAGGAAAGCCUCUGGCCCAAUCCCACACUCCUAUGCUAUUCCUUGUACAAUAAAUGCUAUACAUUCUAAAGAAGGAUCCAGUUCUUGAAAAUGCACACCAUCAUCCUCUUGCAGAAUGCUUCAAAGACAGAUAUUUCAGUCUCAUUUGUAAAUACUGAUGUUUCUUCUUUCCACCUCUGUGGCAGAGCCCUGGACCAGGUCUCAGCUUGCUCCUGUGGCUCAGGAUAGAAGCCAAUUUAAAAAAAGAAGUCACUGCUGCUCAUGUAAGAAGCAAUACUACUGUAGUGUCUGUGAGAAAAGUGCCAAGUGAAGCAGAUUUCUGCCUCAAUGAGACAUUUUGCAAACAUGCUAAGGCUACAAAAUGUCCAAGUUGACAAAGACAUGCAACGCUGACCAUUCAGUAAGUCACAGCUAUCAGAGGAGCGACUGCGCCCACCUGGGCCACAGAUCCCGCCAAACAGGGACAGUGUACAGUGAUCAUGGCAACGCACUAUGCAGGACCCAGUAACCUGAGGUAGGUCUCUUUACAGUAAGAAGACAAUGUCCUACACCAGUGUUACAUCCUGAUCCACAGGAACGUGUCUAAAGUUCCAGAAGAUGUGGGGUGGGGGGACUGUUUCCUUAAUGAGUGUGCAAUAAAGAAACAGGAAAUAUUGAUGUCGUUUAACCUUAGUAUAAGUGAGAAGAACAAAGAGUUAAGUGUUACCCAUGCCAAUGAAAGCCACCCUAAACCUCUGAGGAGUGUUAGCAGCUUCAAGAUAAAGGAGUCAGUCAGCUGAAGCAACUCUGAAAAGGCUUUCCUGCUAGCACAGAGGGUAUGAUUUGAACCUUAUGAUUAAUUUGUUACAGAUCAUUCCACGAACAGUUAGGUUUUGGUUGUGUUAGAUCAGCGAAGCAGGAAGAGCUUGGGCUUGCUUGCAUUAAAGUUAUCCCUACUGAUACAGUAAGAAAUACUGUAUCAGGACACUGAGAGAAUCUGAGGUCUUCAUGCAACCCUGAAGUGGUUCUCCACUCAGGAGAGCACAGAAAGACCUUGCUUUGGGAAAGCAUCAUGGGAAGCAGCAGCCGCUGCCGUGGUGAACCUUAGCGAUGCUCCAGAUAGCUUCGACAGAUUACAAUGCAAUAGUUACACCACAGAGUUCUUCCCCCCUGCGCGAGACAACGAAGAUGUGACAAGAAAAGGACACUAUUGCAAAGCUUCACUUCCACUCAGACACGCAGAAAAUCCAGCACUAGGAAAAGACCAACUGUAAGAGACAGAAGGGCGUCUGAUACAGUCUGAUAGAGCCAGAUCUCUGCUACCAUAAACUGUACAAAAAUGAUAGAAAAGAAUAUGCACUGUUAUUAACACAGUGCUUAUUUCAAUACAAAAUAAACAGCUUACAUUUCCACUGUAAAUAUAGGCUAUGUACAGAAUUAUGUAUAGAUAUAGCUACAUGUAUAAAGCUUCAUUAUAGGCCUCUGAUACAUUUAUAACUAUGGCUCCCUGAGCCACUUGUAGAGUGCAUUCAAUAACGAAAAGUUAGUAACAUGAUGAGGGAAUAAAUACAACAAUAAAAACCAAUGAAGAAAUCUUCUGAUGCCGUUUUAAAAACUUCAGCUUGACACAUUGUGCUAAAAAUUAAAAGAUGAGAAGGCAAUAAUCUGCUUGGAGGAGGAGGAGGAGGAAGAGCUGGCCUGCCACAGACAGGGAAUGUAGCUCUCCAAAAUUAAAGUGACUUUGCCCUGAAUUUUAGCCCUUGACAGCAACCUUGUUCUCCGCAGCAGCAAACAUAGCAUAGAAGCGCGAGUUCUCGUUGGCCAGAAGGGCAGAUGGCGUGUCGAAUUCCACUACCUGAAAGCAAACAAGGCAGGUAAAAAGCAUGUCAGUAAAGUCUGGCAGCAAAUGGACUCCCACCCUUUGGGCUUGUGAUGCAGCAGUCAAGCCAAACAUGGCAUUCAUCUUCAGAAGAGACAGCAGGCAACGGAAGUAUGCAGCUUUAUGCAUACACACUGUAGCUGUGGAUGCUUCAGACACUGUGCUCAAACACUGGCAUUUCCCAGCCAGAAGCAAUCUCUGGUUGCUCUGACAGAGGCAGAUGCUAUGAGGUUUUUGCCUUCUCUACCUAUCCCAAAUGCCUUACCACCAAAGGCAACUGUCAUAUUUGAUUUGACUGUUUAUGAUUCCCAUAUGGAAGCUUGAGAGGUGGGUAAAUUAUCUCUCUUAUGCCUGGUUGAUAGGACAGGGCUACAUCAAAGUAAUUGGAAACUUCCACUGAGCCCCAGCAGAGAUGCUUACAUUAUUACCCAAUCUCAGAAUUAACCUACAAAAGGAGUUUGAAUAACACUUUUUAAUAAAAGAGACUGUUACUGUA